UACGUAGGGACCAAGCGUUGUUCGGAUUUACUGGGCGUAAAGGGCGCGUAGGCGGCUUGUCAAGUCACUUGUGAAAUCUCUGGGCUUAACCCAGAGCGGCCAAGUGAAACUGACAUGCUAGAGUGCAGAAGGGGCAAUCGGAAUUCUUGGUGUAGCGGUGAAAUGCGUAGAUAUCAGGAGGAACACCGGUGGCGAAGGCGGGUCUCUGGGCAGUAACUGACGCUGAGGAGCGAAAGCGUGGGGAGCGAACAGG
rnacentral:rRNA from 1 species